rnacentral:lncRNA from 1 species
CUAGACUAUGCUUAGUUAUGUACUCGACCUGAUAUAGGCUAGCAUAGACUUUAAACUACUUCCACAAUUAAAUAACUAGAUUAUGAUAUUUAAUCAUAGACCAUGACUAGCACAUAUUUUGAGAAGGAUUAAUUAAUUAAUAGAAUAAUAAAUAAUUGGAUAUUAUGCAAUUAAAUGAGCCUAAACAAGUCAUGUUGUUGUAUGAGAGUCCA